UGGGGAAUUUUGGACAAUGGGCGAAAGCCUGAUCCAGCAAUGCCGCGUGUGUGAAGAAGGCCUUCGGGUUGUAAAGCACUUUUGUCCGGAAAGAAAUCCUUGGCUCUAAUACAGUCGGGGGAUGACGGUACCGGAAGAAUAAGCACCGGCUAACUACGUGCCAGCAGCCGCGGUAAUACGUAGGGUGCAAGCGUUAAUCGGAAUUACUGGGCGUAAAGCGUGCGCAGGCGGUUUGCUAAGACCGAUGUGAAAUCCCCGGGCUCAACCUGGGAACUGCAUUGGUGACUGGCAGGCUAGAGUAUGGCAGAGGGGGGUAGAAUUCCACGUGUAGCAGUGAAAUGCGUAGAGAUGUGGAGGAAUACCGAUGGCGAAGGCAGCCCCCUGGGCCAAUACUGACGCUCAUGCACGAAAGCGUGGGGAGCAAACAGGAUUAGAUACCCUGGUAGUCCACGCCCUAAACGAUGUCAACUAGUUGUUGGGGAUUCAUUUCCUUAGUAACGUAGCUAACGCGUGAAGUUGACCGCCUGGGGAGUACGGUCGCAAGAUUAAAACUUCAAAUGAAUUGACGGGGUCAUAGCUGUUUCCU
rnacentral:rRNA from 1 species